rnacentral:rRNA from 1 species
AGGUGCUGCAUGGCUGUCGUCAGCUCGUGUUGUGAAAUGUUGGGUUAAGUCCCGCAACGAGCGCAACCCUUAUCCUUUGUUGCCAGCGAUUCGGUCGGGAACUCAAAGGAGACUGCCAGUGAUAAACUGGAGGAAGGUGGGGAUGACGUCAAGUCAUCAUGGCCCUUACGACCAGGGCUACACACGUGCUACAAUGGCGCAUACAAAGAGAAGCGACCUCGCGAGAGCAAGCGGACCUCAUAAAGUGCGUCGUAGUCCGGAUUGGAGUCUGCAACUCGACUCCAUGAAGUCGGAAUCGCUAGUAAUCGUGGAUCAGAAUGCCACGGUGAAUACGUUCCCGGGCCUUGUACACACCGCCCGUCACACCAUGGGAGUGGGUUGCAAAAGAAGUAGGUAGCUUAACCUUCGGGAGGGCGCUUACCACUUUGUGAUUCAUGACUGGGGUGAAGUCGUAACAAGGUAACCGUAGGGGAACCUGC